AUUGAACGCUGGCGGCAGGCUUAACACAUGCAAGUCGAGCGGGGAGAUGUAGCUUGCUACAUAUCCUAGCGGCGGACGGGUGAGUAAUGCUUAGGAAUCUGCCUAUUAGUGGGGGACAACAUUCCGAAAGGAAUGCUAAUACCGCAUACGCCCUACGGGGGAAAGCAAGGGAUCUUCGGACCUUGCGCUAAUAGAUGAGCCUAAGUCGGAUUAGCUAGUUGGUGGGGUAAAGGCCUACCAAGGCGACGAUCUGUAGCGGGUCUGAGAGGAUGAUCCGCCACACUGGGACUGAGACACGGCCCAGACUCCUACGGGAGGCAGCAGUGGGGAAUAUUGGACAAUGGGCGCAAGCCUGAUCCAGCCAUGCCGCGUGUGUGAAGAAGGCCUUUUGGUUGUAAAGCACUUUAAGCGAGGAGGAGGCUCCUUUAGUUAAUACCUAAAGAGAGUGGACGUUACUCGCAGAAUAAGCACCGGCUAACUCUGUG
rnacentral:rRNA from 1 species